rnacentral:rRNA from 1 species
UACGGGGGGAGCAAGCGUUGUUCGGAUUUACUGGGCGUAAAGGGCGUGUAGGCGGCCACCGCAGGUCGGUUGUGAAAUCUCCGGGCUUAACCCGGAAAGGUCAACCGAUACUGCGGGGCUAGAGUGCAGAAGGGGCAACUGGAAUUCUCGGUGUAGCGGUGAAAUGCGUAGAUAUCGAGAGGAACACCUGCGGCGAAGGCGGGUUGCUGGGCUGACACUGACGCUGAAACGCGAAAGCUAGGGGAGCGAACGGG